CCCUAGCCCGGAUCAAAGCGACAUCCUAUUGUGCCGGGGUUCGGCACAAUAGAUACAGCGGAGAGCGGGAAAUAGC
rnacentral:sRNA from 1 species